GCCCUCGUGGCUCAAUUGGAUAGAGCAAGAGAUUUCUAAUCUCUAGGUUGCAGGUUCGAGUCCUGCCGAGGGCA
rnacentral:tRNA from 3 species